GGUCCAAUAAAACCUUUCGCGAUGGCGCUGGGUAAAAUGCGAAAGAAGUUCGAAUGUUCCAAAGACAAGACCUGCCCAAUUAGAACGUUCCUAGUAACAUCACGUGACGCGGAGGUUGGUGAACGUGCCCUGAAGACAUUACGUAGCUGGGGGUACAGAUCGAUGAGUCAUUCUUCAUGGCGGGUGCCCCAAAGAAUGAAAUAUUGAAAGCAAUAAACCCACACAUCUUUUUUGAUGACCAGAAAUCACACAUUGAUGGUGCUAGGAAGUCAGGCACUCCUUCAGGACAUGUUCCUAAUACAAAUGAUCGCACAUAUGAUAAGACUGAACAGGAUUCAGCCAAGUCUAAUUUGUUUAAAUGAUUAACAUGACCAACAAUUUUAGAUUAAUUGAAACUUGAGACUUGUAAGUAUUGCUCUGUGAUAGGACUUUUAUACAAUAAUAGAUAUAUGAUCGCAAGGAAAUGCUGCCGAUUGAACAAAAGUCUGCUUAGUCUGGGUUUAAUAAAUUAAUACACCAGGAUUCGAAAGUGGCUUAUUUAAUUGCUAAAACCAAUUGUAUGUAUGAAUUUAUUUUGUUUCAAAAACACUGAAAUUUACAACCUAACUAGCAUGAAUGUAAUUUGGAUUACUAUACGCAUGAAUGCACUGUAUUUGUAUAUGAUACGUGGUACCAAUAUUUUAAAUCGUUUUCAUUAAAUAUAACUUAGGAAGAACAAUCAUGUGUGUUCAGUACAAUUAGCCUUUCUCACAAAGGCCAAGUCUGCCAUUUUGGGGGUAUUUUUUUGUGAAUGAUAUUAAAAAUCUAAGCGUUGCGAAAAUAAUUUUUCAAAUAUUUAACUGUAAAUUAACUUAUAAUGAUUAUAUUCAUACUGGUCCAAUACAACUCCCAUAUUUAAUGAUUACAAUCUGAGAUCUGGAA